AUUGAACGCUGGCGGCAUGCUUACACAUGCAAGUCGAACGGCAGCACGGGAGCAAUCCUGGUGGCGAGUGGCGAACGGGUGAGUAAUAUAUCGGAACGUGCCCGGUCGUGGGGGAUAACGUAGCGAAAGCUACGCUAAUACCGCAUACGAUCUACGGAUGAAAGCGGGGGAUCGCAAGACCUCGCGCGAUUGGAGCGGCCGAUAUCAGAUUAGGUAGUUGGUGAGGUAAAGGCUCACCAAGCCGACGAUCUGUAGCUGGUCUGAGAGGACGACCAGCCACACUGGGACUGAGACACGGCCCAGACUCCUACGGGAGGCAGCAGUGGGGAAUUUUGGACAAUGGGCGCAAGCCUGAUCCAGCAAUGCCGCGUGCAGGAUGAAGGCCUUCGGGUUGUAAACUGCUUUUGUACGGAACGAAAUGGUGAGCUCUAAUACAGUUUGCUAAUGACGGUACCGUAAGAAUAAGCACCGGCUAACUACGUG
rnacentral:rRNA from 1 species